GACGAACGCUGGCGGCGCGCCUAACACAUGCAAGUCGAACGAAGCACUUUGGACAGAUUCUUCGGAUGAAGUCCUUAGUGACUGAGUGGCGAACGGGUGAGUAACGCGUGAGGAACCUGCCUCAAAGAGGGGGACAACAGUUGGAAACGACUGCUAAUACCGCAUAAGCCCACGGCUCGGCAUCGAGCAGAGGGAAAAGGAGCAAUCCGCUUUGAGAUGGCCUCGCGUCCGAUUAGCUAGUUGGUGAGGUAAUGGCCCACCAAGGCGACGAUCGGUAGCCGGACUGAGAGGUUGAACGGCCACAUUGGGACUGAGACACGGCCCAGACUCCUACGGGAGGCAGCAGUGGGGAAUAUUGCACAAUGGGGGAAACCCUGAUGCAGCGACGCCGCGUGGAGGAAGAAGGUCUUCGGAUUGUAAACUCCUGUUGUUGAGGAAGAUAAUGACGGUACUCAACAAGGAAGUGACGGCUAACUACGUGCCAGCAGCCGCGGUAAAACGUAGGUCACAAGCGUUGUCCGGAAUUACUGGGUGUAAAGGGAGCGCAGGCGGGAAGGCAAGUUGGAAGUGAAAUCCAUGGGCUCAACCCAUGAACUGCUUUCAAAACUGUUUUUCUUGAGUAGUGCAGAGGUAGGCGGAAUUCCCGGUGUAGCGGUGGAAUGCGUAGAUAUCGGGAGGAACACCAGUGGCGAAGGCGGCCUACUGGGCACCAACUGACGCUGAGGCUCGAAAGUGUGGGUAGCAAACAGGAUUAGAUACCCUGGUAGUCCACACUGUAAACGAUGAUUACUAGGUGUUGGAGGAUUGACCCCUUCAGUGCCGCAGUUAACACAAUAAGUAAUCCACCUGGGGAGUACGACCGCAAGGUUGAAACUCAAAGGAAUUGACGGGGGCCCGCACAAGCAGUGGAGUAUGUGGUUUAAUUCGACGCAACGCGAAGAACCUUACCAAGUCUUGACAUCCUGCGACGGUUCUGGAAACAGAACUUUCCUUCGGGACGCAGAGACAGGUGGUGCAUGGUUGUCGUCAGCUCGUGUCGUGAGAUGUUGGGUUAAGUCCCGCAGCGAGCGCAACCCUUAUGGUCAGUUACUACGCAAGAGGACUCUGGCCAGACUGCCGUUGACAAAACGGAGGAAGGUGGGGAUGACGUCAAAUCAUCAUGCCCUUUAUGACUUGGGCUACACACGUACUACAAUGGCGUUAAACAAAGAGAAGCAAGACCGCGAGGUGGAGCAAAACUCAGAAACAACGUCCCAGUUCGGACUGCAGGCUGCAACUCGCCUGCACGAAGUCGGAAUUGCUAGUAAUCGCAGAUCAGCAUGCUGCGGUGAAUACGUUCCCGGGCCU
rnacentral:rRNA from 1 species